rnacentral:pre_miRNA from 1 species
ACACUUGGGGUCUGAUCCAAACCCACUGAUGUCCAUGGACUCUUUCCAUUGACUUCAAUGAGCUUUGGAUCAGGCCCAUUUUGU